UGGAGUAGCCCACGUAAUUUUUUAUAAUAGAGCGCCCUUUUUGAGAUUUUAAACUGGACUCCAAGUUCAUACAGGGGAGUGGGUCAAGCAUCGAUUUUAUCUUUUUAAUUGCCGCUAGAAUGAGGGCAUUCCUUUCAGACCUUUGAGAACCAAUCUUGGUUUGGGGAAUAGGUCCAAGAUGAAAUAAAGAAUUACGAAAGGCCCCACCGGAUGGACCUGCGCUUAUUUGCUCAACACGAGAAAUUACCAGUCCCGACAUAUUAGGAUUGCAGAUGAUAGUCUUUCUGAUUCUAGGGUGGGGUGCAUGCCGUUCUUAGUGGUGGAGUGAUUUGUCUGGUUAAUUCCGAUACGAACGAGACCUUAAACAUGCUAACUAGAUCGAUCAUCUUAUGGUCGUAAUCUUCUUAGAGGGACUAUGUAACAAGAGGGGGGGGGGGGUUUGAGGCAAUAACAAAAAAAAAGGUGCCCUUAUAUGUCCUGGGGGGGGGGGGGGGAAAAACUGAUGUAUACAACAAGUGCCUAGUCAGACAUGGCAUGGCAAUCUCGAAUAUGCAUCGUGAGUGAGGGUAGAUCUUUGCAAUUAUAGAUCUUGAACGAGGAAUUCCUAGUAAGUGCAAGUCAUCAUCUUGCAUUGAUUAUGUCCCUGCCCUUUGUACACACCGCCCGUCGUUCCUUCCGAUACCAAAGAUCCGGUGAACCUUUUGGACCCGCAAGGGGAGGUUUUUCACCCAUUCACGAUCUAUCUGAUCCUCAUUUUUGAGCUCC
rnacentral:rRNA from 1 species